rnacentral:lncRNA from 1 species
UACUUCAUUCCAAAAAACAAGUCUUAGAGUUAAGAUUGUCACAAUGAGUGAAAAGUAUUAAGAAGGUUUAAAACAUUCAUUAAAUGUGGUAAGCUGUGAUGUCUUAGAUAAGACAAAGACCAACUAGGACCAAUUUAUGAAGAAUUUUGAUAAAAGGUACACUAACUCUUGCAUAUUUGUUUGUCAAGAAAUGGUUAUUGACAAAGAGAAUCUUAUAUGUCAAGGAGUCAGUGGGAGUCUUAAUGGUCUUGAAAGGUUUCAAGAACAAAUCAAAUAAACCUUAUCGAUCAUCACUAGCACACGAGUUGAGGUUUACAACCUAUCGUAAUGACAUUAUUUUGUUUCUGUGCCAAUCCAAUCGAGUUAAUUAUGCAUGAGAGUUCUAUGAGUUCUCAUUUUGAACGCAUAAAAGGAAAAGCACCUUAAUCAAUGAAAGGUACAUUGAUAGGAAAGGGUGAGCUGCUUAACUACUUGGAAGACAUGGUGGGCAGCUGUGCUACCAUAAGGCAAGAAAUCAAGAUUAAGAAAGUUCGGUCCAUAUGAGUUUGAAUUUGUCGUAAACUUUGGUUUUAACAAAUUCACAUGGAUAGGAACACAUACACCGUUUAAAUCUAAGUGUCAUAAGAUUUCCUCCUUCAUGAAAAUGAUUGUGAGGAAAUGAUUUCACUAAGAAAGAUUUUAAGAAGAUAGUGAUUGUAAAAUUGCAUUCUCGAAUUCAAUUAUGGUUACGGUAUCCCUUUCCAUAAUUUGAAUUGUGAGGUUUGGCAAUUAGUCUUAAUUGUUUAGACACACAUAUGAACUAUCGAAGGCAAAGGUGUAUAAGUUCAAGAAGCCUUGAUAAAAGAUUAUCAAAGCACUAUGUAUUAGAAACAUGGACUUAAGAAAUUCAAUAGGUAUUGUCUUUCUGGAAGUUAAGAUGUUUAAGAAUACAUGUCGAAGCUAGUGGGAGCAUAAGUGUUAUGUUUUAUAAUAAUCAUCAUGAUAGUGGGAGCAUAAAUGUUAUGAUUGUAUGAUUAUUAAGGCACGUAUUGCAAGUUGGCAAUAUUAAUUAUAGAAAACAAGAGUUAUACCUUGCAAAGUCGUAAGGGUUGUAAAGUUGUUUUGCUAUAAUUAAGGGAGAGAAUAUUAUGCUUCAUUUCAAAUCUAAAGGAUUAGGUUGAGAAAUGUUAAUAAAUUUAGUCAAAGGUACAUAGUGUGUUCUUAAAAUUUCGAUUAUGAUUACGGCAUUCCUCUUCACAAUUCGAAUUUUGAGAACAUAGCAAAUAAAACAUUAUGCGUCGUGUCCCAUACGCUUCGGGUAUAGGAUCGAUUGCAAAUGCUUUAAUGUUUGACCAUUCUAAAAUUUUCCAAAUGUCGAGCGCAUUUAGAGGGAAAAGGGACUAGAAUUGGUUUUGACUAAAAUAAUUAAACAACUAUCAAAGGACAAUCCAAAGUUUGACGAGGAUUGGUCGCUUGUGAGUAGUUGGAAGCAUGGUAUUGGAUGGACCAUAUCGACAUUAUUAUGAAUAGAAAAGAUUCUAUUAAGAAUGAGUUGUCAUAUGGAAAAUAUGGAAAUGUUUCCAUAUUGGAUGGACCAUAUCGACAUCAUUACGAAUAGAUAAGAUUCUAUUAAGAAUGAGUUGUCAUAUGGAAAAUAUGGAAGCGUGUCCAUAUUGGGAAUUGAAUAUUGAAAAUCUAUGUCUAGAUUAGAAACUUUUAUGCAAAAGGAUGUUCAAAGGAAUGUACUUUGAGUGAGAGACAUCAUAUCUAAGGAAUUGUCUUGUAACAAUCUCCGAUAGAGGACUUUGUAAUAUCAUUGGCAAUAGUCUUUGUGACUUUGGUGCAGUGACAUUACGAAAGGAUCAUUGCAUAAAAUGUUAGAAUCUAGCAUAUUCUAUAAGUAGCAAGAAUUUGAUAUUCUUUCACUUAUGAAAAAGGAUUUGGAGUUGUGAAAUGAGAAUGAUUGGAAAUGUGUUCAAUUUGAUCUAUUUCACAAAGUAAGAACCAUAGGUAAACAUUGUGUGCAUGCUAGGAGCAUGGGACAAGUGUAAUAAUUCAAGUAAGAAGUUGAUUACCCGAAACGACAAAUAAUGAGUAAUCGAUAUGGUGAUAAAUAAAAGGUGUUUUAUUUAUACUCAAAGGUUUGAGGCCAUAUGGGAUUAGUAUUAUUCUUGUGUUUCACUUUGCAUGUUUUGACUUCCUGAAUAAUUUAAUUGGUUAAGAACAGUCAAAUUAUUCGAACGGGCCACAGUCGUUCAUAUGUUGGAAGUAGGUAUGAAUGAAGACUGUCGUGAAUUGGUGUGUGGAUUGUCUAAAGAGUAUUAGACAUAAGCAAAUGUUUGCUGCAACGUUCAUGAGUGCUUAUGAAUAUGAUUUGAGCAUUGGAUUAAACCCACGCUCACUUGGAUCACUCCAUGAAUUGUAUCACGAGUGAUUGGUGAGACGAUAACAUCUUAUAUUCUUGAAACCGAGAUGUGUGAGUUGUAUCUUGCAAAUCGGUUGCACAUUGAUAAUAUGUAAACGCACUAGUAACUUGGUGUUAUAAAACAUAUUGUUGUGUGUGAUUCGGUGAGUGAGUGCAAGCAAGCAUUGUAUCAAAGUUUAUCCGUUCCUUUUAUCCAAAGUAGGAUAAAAGCGAUAUCUUUGGGCCCCUCGAUGAUUUAGUGAUGACAAACGUAAAUGCUCGGCCGGGCUAGGGCUAAUUUGAUUUGUUCAAUUAGUCAGUCGUCAUAAAUCGGGAAUCGAGAUAUAGUACAAAGAGAAUGAUUUGAAAUCAUAUCUCAUAUGAUAUCUAGAAUGGAGGAAUAUAUGAUCCCUUAUCUAAGGACACGCGUAUCUGAUAGGAUCAGAGUUGACAGCGGCUUUGGAAAGCUACGAUUGCAGAUCAGGAUCUGAAGUCAUACGCAGAAUAGUUAUUAGACUUAUCCAAGUGGGAGACUGUUGGAUUAGUGUCUAAGUCCAUAACUAUUUUGGUAUGUACUUGACCCGAUGGUGCAUGGUCCUUUUGGGUUGCCUUCACCAAAGCAACUUGAUAGGAUGAAUUAUGGAGAGAAAGGAUUAAAUAUGAUUUAUUAAUAUAUUAUGAGAAUAAUAUAUUAAAGGAGAAAUCAUAUUGUUUAAUUAAUAUUAGUCAAUAAUUAAUUGGUAAUUAGUUUUGUGACUAAAAGAGAUUAAUUAAACUUAAGGGACUGGAAUUGUAAUUAUAAGAUAAUUGCAAUUUGGGCCAUGGAUUGUCUUAAAUCAAGAGGUGGACGAAUUCUUAUGGGAAGCCCAUAAGGAAAUCGUCCAAGGGCUUGAUUAAAGGAGUCUAUGGGUUGCUUAGGGCUUAAGCAACCAAAUUAGGGUUUCCUUGUUAGAUAACCCUAAUAGCCUCACUAUAUAUAGAACCCUUAAGGCUCAAAAACGUGGGGAACUUCUUUUCUAGGGUUAGAACACGUUUUGGGCAGCCUCCAUCCUCUCUCCUCUUCAUCCUCUUGCUUAUGGUGUUUGUAAGCCAUUAGAGGAGUGACACUUGUGACUCUAAGCCUUCCAAAGUCAAUUCAAGGAGGAAUUGGGAUUGUUAUUGCUACAUAACAAUCAAGGUAAUAUCUUAAACCUAAUUAUAUGUUAAUAUUGAUUUCCAUAUGCUAGAAUUAGGGUUUAUAGUCUUGGAUUCAAAGCAUGUACAAUAGAGAAACCUAGAUCCAAGCAUUAGGGUUUGUAUGAGCACAUAGGAUGUCUUAUGACCAAAACCCAUCAGUGGUAUCAGAGCCUAGAUUGGUUUCAAUUGUAUUGAUGCAUUGUAUAUCUGAAAAAUUCGAUUUUUGGUGUUCUGGAGGCUGGACUCGCCGAGUCCAUAGCUGAACUCGCCGAGUCCAUGCAGACUCGACGAGUCCAAGCUUGACUCGACGAGUCAACUCGUCAGAUGGAGCAUAUCUCGGGAUUUCUUGCUGUUUUUGCUUUGGGAUAGUUACCUUAUCAUAUUAGAUCAAUAUAAAUCCGAUUUUAUGAUAUAUUUGACUAUAUUCUUGAUCUAAUUGAAGAUAUUUAUCAAUUAAUAAGAUAAUUGUUUCCUUAUGUGAUAAUUGAUUAAUUAUUUUGAUUAAAUUGAUAAAUUGUUUUGCAAGAAAUCAUUAAAUAAAUCAAAUAUGGAUAAUUAUGUGAUUAAAUGUUAAUUUAGAUUAUUUGUUAUUUGAUCCUUGUUGUUAUGAAAAGUUUCAUAUUUUCCCCUUUAGGUUUUAUAGUUUAAAUUUGAACCCAAAAGUUUUGUUGUUUUGAAAUUUAAAUAGUUGAAACCCUAAUGUUUUGAAAAAGGUUUCAAAACUUGCCCUCAAGUUUUGGAAUUUAAAUUUUGAUUAAAUGGUUUAAUUUUGAUGUAUAUUUAAAUUCUAAACCCUAAUGUGUUGAAAUGUUUCAAAACUUGCCCUCAAGUUUUGGAAUUUAAAAGUUGAUUAAAAGUUUAAUUAGGAAUGUUAAAUUCUAAAACUCUAGUAUUGUUUUGAAAAAGUUCAAAUCACACCCUUAUGGUUUUAUUAAUUAAUUAAGGUGUAUAAUUAAAAGAGGUUUAAUAAAUCCAUAAAAGUUUUGGUUUACAAUUUAAUUGAAUUAAAAGUAUAAUUGUUAAAUUUGACCACCUAGUAUUUUAAAAGUGUAAAAUACACCCUAUACUAUAUAUAACAUUAAAAGUCUAACAUUAUAUAUAUGUAUGAGUAAAAGUCAGUCUUACCGUUAGUAGGCCUCAUUCACGAAGCUGGUCUAUAAGGGGUGUUUAAGGAAAUUGCCUAUAAAAUGGCGAUUGAAUGGGUAUCCACUCUUACCCACCGCACUCUUGACUAGUGGAGGGUCGUUAGCCGAACGGGUAGGAUAGGACGAAACCUUCCAUUAUAAGUAUAAUGAAGUAUAAAAGUAACUAAAUGUUUUCAUAAAAUUCCCAAUCUUAGUUACUUAGGCAAAAGUGAAUUGAUGCAAUUCCAUGAAAUUACACUUUGUGCCCUUGCGAAGACGUUAGUGGAGCGUGUGUGGUUUACCGGCACACUAAAUGGUUCUAAGCAAAGGUAGCAAAGGGUGACUCAAUGUUUGUCAUAGUUCGGUGGAGCGUGUGUGGUUUACCGGCACAUCGAAUAGGUGACUGUAACAUGUGAGGGCACCAUGUAAGUUUGCAUGGUUAUUCACACCCGCUUUGUGAUCCUCGGCAUCCCAGUCACAAACUAGAGGGGCAUAUCGAGAUUUAAACAUGCCAUUGAAAUGUUCAAUGAAUCUCAAAGGAUCUAGGAGUUUUCAUAGAUUUAAAACUUAAAUUUCUUUUUCGUUUUUCAUGGUGGAAAUUAGUGAAUCGUCAUUCACUUACCUUCAAAUGUUCUGCAAUUUGGGUUACGGCAUCCCUCUCCCGAGUUGUAGAAUAUUGUGUUGGGUCCUAGCCUUAGUAUCUCAUUUGGGUGAUUUACUAAGGACUCAAUCAAUCAACUAACUUGAAUUCGUUUUCUCCCGUUUUGUAGAUGUCAAAGUUCGACAACUAUGGUCUUCCCAAAUCCCGUGGAACAAGCAUUCCACAUGAAGAUGAUAUUCCACGAUUCGAUCGAGGAACAAGAAAUCAUGCUUCACUUCCUCCACCUCCUCCAAUUAUUCUCCCUAACCCACAAGUUCAAAGGCUUGAAAAGUUCAAGAUCACUCAAGCCCUUUUGGCAAGUAAACAUAAAGAAGGAAAGUCGGUGUGUGCACACGUCCUAGGGAUGAAGUCACACAUUGAUAGGUUAAGAAUGUUGGGAUCCGUUGUCUGUGAGGAAAUGGCUGUUGAUUGGGUUCUUCAGUCACUUCCUAACUCAUAUAGUGAGUUCGUAAGAGAGUACUAUAUGAUGAACCGCGACGUGACCCUUAUAGAUCUCACCUAUAUGCUUAUUGCUGCUGAAUCAGCAAUGGUUUGGCGCAAUAGAAAAGCAAAGUUGAUUGGUGAAUCUGCCUUCAAGACCUCUAUGGAUAUAGACAAUGGCAACGAAAGACAUGCUAUGAUCGAAAAGUUUGAUCAUAAGAGAAAGGCAAUGUCUGAAGUAGUUCCAUGUCAUGUUCCAAAAGAGUCAAUUUGCUUUUAUUGCCAAGAGAAAGGGCAUUGGAGACGAAGCUGCCCCAUUUACCUAAGAGAUCUAAGAGAUGGGAGAGUCGAAACGUAUGGCUCUAAUAUAGGUAAAAUCCAUUAACUAACUCUUUUAAGCUUCUAUUCUAGAUUCUUAAUACAUAAUGUGAUAAGAUUACAAUUGAUGUUUUGUAGGAUCGAAGAAAAGAAAGGAAGCUUAAGGGAAGAAGUGAGCAGAAUCUAACCGUGAAGGAAUGGAUUUCGAUCGCAUUUCUCGAAGAUUAGAUUCUUGAGCUACUACUUAGAGUUAGAAUUAGAUUGCUAAGAAAGAUGUAUUAGCAAAGUUUUUCAAUGAAUUGCAUUGUAAGGACAAAUUUUUCCGCAAUAAAAUAAAUUUUGAUUUUAAAUUUUAUUUAUUUAUCCUUACAAUGGCGUGUAUGAAAAAUUGAUGUUAAAAUGUUUCUAUUAUUAGCAAUAAUGGAUUUGGUUCUUAUUAUGUUAUUUAUGGAAAGUCGAGAAUUUACCAAAUAGGGAGAGUUUCUCAUCGCCCAAGUUUCAAUUGGACAGAAACUUGGAAUCAUGCAACUUGGUUGCACGAUGAAUGAGAAAUUUCAUAUUUGGAAAUUAGACUAAUUCAUUGACAAAGUGUCAAGUGAAGGACUAGGAGAUCGAGUACACAAAGUUGCGUGUUGAUCAAGUCCACCAUAAGAGUAACAAAGAUAUUCGUCAUGAUUUACUAAAGGUUUAGUAAAUAUGAUUAUACUUAUAAGAUUAAGUGUAAUUCUGAAUUGAUUGAAAAAGUUUAAAUCAAUAGCAGAACGAAUAAGAAGAAUCAAGUAGGCAGAAAGAUAAAAGUUUCUCCAUUCUAAGAAGAAGGGAGAGUACCUUUUAUGCUUUAUGAUAGGUCUUAAUGAUUAAGAACCAUAUCUCAAUUGAUCCUCUAAGUGAGUCUUAGUACAAUUGUAUGUCUAAGAAGAGGAAUCAAGAAUUGAAGAAAUGGUUAAAUCAAGAAGUCAAUCAUACUUCGUUCCAAUAACAAGUCUUAAAGUUAAGAUUGUGACAUUGAGUGAAAAGUAUUAAGAAGGUUUAUAACAUUCAUCAAAUGUGGAAAGUUGUGAUGUCUUGGAUAAGACAAAGACCAACUAGGACCAAUUUAUGAAGUGUUUUGAUAAAAGCUACACUAACUCUUGAAUAUUUGUUUGUCAAGAAAUGGUUAUUGACAAGAGAAUCUUAUAUGUCAAGGAGUCAGUGGGAGUCUUAAUGGUCUUGAAAGGUUUCAAGAACAAAUCAAAUAAACCUUAUCGAUCAUCACUAGCACACGAGUUGAGGUUUACAACCUAUCGUGUUGACAUUAUUUUGAUUCUGUGCCAAUCCAAUCGAGUUAAUUAUGCAUGUGAGUUCUAUGAGUUCUCAUUUUGAACGCAUAAAAGGCAAAGCACCUUAAUCAAUGAAAGGUACAUUGAUAGGAAAGGGUGAGCUGCUUAACUACUUGGAAGACAUGGUGGGCAGCUGUGCUACCAUAAGGCAAGAAAUCAAGAUUAAGAAAGUUCGGUCCAUAUGAGUUUGAAUUUGUCGUAAACUUUGGUUUUAACAAAUUCACAUGGAUAGGAACACAUACACCGUUUAAAUCUAAGUGUCAUAAGAUUUCCUCCUUCAUGAAAAUGAUUGUGAGGAAAUGCUUUCACUAAGAAAGAUUUUAAGAAGAUAGUGAUUGUAAAAUUGCAUUCUCGAAUUCAAUUAUGGUUACGGUAUCCCUUUCCAUAAUUUGAAUUGUGAGGUUUGGCAAUUAGUCUUAAUUGUUUAGACACACAUAUGAACUAUCGAAGGCAAAGGUGUAUAAGUUCAAGAAGCCUUGAUAAAAGAUUAUCAAAGCACUAAGUAUUAGAAACAUGAACUUAAGAAAUUCAAUAAGCAUUGUUUUUCUGAAAGUUAAGAUGUUUAUGAAUACAUGUCGAAGCUAGUGGGAGCAUAAGUGUUAUGUUUUAUAAUAAUCAUCAUGAUAGUGGGAGCAUAAAUGUUAUGAUUGUAUGAUUAUUAAGGAAAGUAUUGCAAGGUUAGCAAUAUUAAUUAUAGAAAACAAGAGUCAUACUUUGCAAAGUUGUAAGAGUUGAAAAGUUGUUUUGCUAUAAUUAAGGGAGAGAAUAUUAUGCUUCAUUUCAAAUCUAAAGGAUUAGGUUGAGAAAUGUUAAUAAAUUUAGUCAAAGGUACAUAGUGUGUUCUUAAAAUUUCGAUUAUGAUUACGGCAUUCCUCUUCACAAUUCGAAUUUUGAGAACAUAGCAAAUAAAACAUUAUGCGUCGUGUCCCAUACGCUUCGGGUAUAGGAUCGAUUGCAAAUGCUUUAAUGUUUGACCAUUCUAAAAUUUUCCAAAUGUCUAGCGCAUUUAGAGGGAAAAAGGACUAGAAUCGGUUUUGACUAAAAUAAUUAAACAACUAUCAAAGGACAAUCCAAAGUUCGACGAGGAUUGGUCGCUUGUGAGUAGUUGGAAGUAUAGUAUUGGAAAAUAUGGAAAUGUUUCCAUAUUGGAUGGACCAUAUCGACAUCAUUAUGAAUAGAUAAGAUUCUAUUAAGAAUGAGUUGUCAUAUGGAAAAUAUGG